rnacentral:rRNA from 1 species
UGAGGAAUAUUGGUCAAUGGGCGGGAGCCUGAACCAGCCAAGCCGCGUGAGGGAAUAAGGCGCCAAGCGUCGUAAACCUCUUUUGUCAGGGAACAAAAGCGGGCACGCGUGCCCGUCCGAGUGUACCUGAAGAAAAAGCAUCGGCUAACUCCGUGCC